AUUGAACGCUGGCGGCAGGCCUAACACAUGCAAGUCGAGCGGAUGAAGGGAGCUUGCUCCUGGAUUCAGCGGCGGACGGGUGAGUAAUGCCUAGGAAUCUGCCUGGUAGUGGGGGAUAACGUCCGGAAACGGGCGCUAAUACCGCAUACGUCCUGAGGGAGAAAGUGGGGGAUCUUCGGACCUCACGCUAUCAGAUGAGCCUAGGUCGGAUUAGCUAGUUGGUGGGGUAAAGGCCUAGCAAGGCGACGAUCCGUAACUGGUCUGAGAUGAUGAUCAGUCACACUGGAACUGAGCCACGGUCCAGACUCCUACGGGAGCCAGCAGUGGAGAAUAUUGGACAAUGGGCGAAAGCAUGAUCCAGCCAUGCCGCGUGUGUGAAGAAGGUCUUCGGAUUGUAAAGCACUUUAAGUUGGGAGGAAGGGCAGUAAGUUAAUACCUUGCUGUAUUGACGUUACCAACAGAAUAAGCACCGGCUAACUUCGUG
rnacentral:rRNA from 1 species